UACGGAGGGUGCAAGCGUUAAUCGGAAUUACUGGGCGUAAAGCGCGCGUAGGCGGUUUGUUAAGUCGGAUGUGAAAUCCCCGGGCUCAACCUGGGAAUUGCAUUCGAUACUGGCAGGCUAGAAUGUGGUAGAGGGAAGUGGAAUUUCAGGUGUAGCGGUGAAAUGCGUAGAUAUCUGAAGGAACAUCAGUGGCGAAGGCGACUUCCUGGACCAACAUUGACGCUGAGGUGCGAAAGCGUGGGGAGCAAACAGG
rnacentral:rRNA from 1 species